UGGGGAAUCUUCCGCAAUGGGCGAAAGCCUGACGGAGCAACGCCGCGUGAGUGAAGACGGCCUUCGGGUUGUAAAGCUCUGUUAUACGGGACGAAUAGUCUUGUGGUUAAUACCCAUAAGAAGUGACGGUACCGUAAGAGAAAGCCACGGCUAACUACGUGCCAGCAGCCGCGGUAAUACGUAGGUGGCAAGCGUUGUCCGGAAUUAUUGGGCGUAAAGGGCGCGCAGGCGGCUUCUUAAGUCUGUCUUAAAAGUGCGGGGCUUAACCCCGUGAUGGGAUGGAAACUGGGAAGCUCAGAGUAUCGGAGAGGAAAGCGGAAUUCCUAGUGUAGCGGUGAAAUGCGUAGAUAUUAGGAGGAACACCAGUAGCGAAAGCGGCUUUCUGGACGAAAACUGACGCUGAGGCGCGAAAGCCAGGGGAGCGAACGGGAUUAGAUACCCCGGUAGUCCUGGCCGUAAACGAUGGGUACUAGGUGUAGGAGGUAUCGACCCCUUCUGUGCCGGAGUUAACGCAAUAAGUACCCCGCCUGGGGAGUACGGCCGCAAGGUUG
rnacentral:rRNA from 1 species